AAUCUAAUAGAUUUUUCAUUCUUUUAUAUACAGUGGCUUCAAAGACCUUUUUGACUGGGAGCACUUCAUAGAGACAUUGAAAGAUGAUGUCCACAUUGUUGAGACAUUGCCACCUGAGUAUGCUGGAAUUGAACCUUUCACAAAGACCCCAAUAUCCUGGUCCAAGGUCAGUUAUUAUAAAUCGGAGAUCCUCCCACUUCUGAAGCAGCACAAAGUUUUGUACUUCACGCAUACUGAUUCCCGACUUGCCAAUAAUGGACUACCAAAUUCCAUACAAAAGCCGAGGUGCCGUGUGGACUAUAGGGCAUUGAAAUAUUCAGGCCCAAUUGAAGAACUUGGGAACACCUUUGUUUCAAGGAUGCAAGAGAGUGGAAGCCCUUAUGUAGCUCUCCAUUUAAGGUAUGAGAAGGAUAUGCUGGCAUUUACUGGCUGCAGUCAUAAUUUGACAGCAGAGGAAGAUAAGGGACGGGU